rnacentral:lncRNA from 1 species
UCAGCGGCCCGUUUUCUUUCCAGACCGAGGGUUGUGGCCCCGCCUGGGGCUGAGGCCUGGUCUUGAGGAAACUGAACUUAGCCUCGCGGGCGACAGCUCGGGCAUAGGGUGGUAUGUAAC